GCGGGUGUGGCGGAAUUGGCAGACGCACUAGACUUAGGAUCUAGCGCCUUUGGCGUGGGGGUU
rnacentral:tRNA from 2 species